GACGAAGGGGGCUAGCGUUGCUCGGAAUCACUGGGCGUAAAGCGCACGUAGGCGGAUUGUUAAGUCAGGGGUGAAAUCCUGGAGCUCAACUCCAGAACUGCCUUUGAUACUGGCGAUCUUGAGUCCGGGAGAGGUGAGUGGAACUGCGAGUGUAGAGGUGAAAUUCGUAGAUAUUCGCAAGAACACCAGUGGCGAAGGCGGCUCACUGGCCCGGUACUGACGCUGAGGUGCGAAAGCGUGGGGAGCAAACAGG
rnacentral:rRNA from 1 species